rnacentral:other from 1 species
CUAACACUAUUUUUUCAAAUAUUUCAAAAAGUGAAAC